GACGAACCGUGCAAACGUUGUUCGGAAUCACUGGGCUUAAAGGGCGCGUAGGCGGGCAAGCAAGUCGAAGGUGAAAUCCCACGGCUCAACCGUGGAAGUGCCCCCGAUACUGCUUGUCUUGAGGGAGAUAGGGGCGUGCGGAACUUCCGGUGGAGCGGUGAAAUGCGUAGAUAUCGGAAGGAACACCGGUGGCGAAAGCGGCGCGCUGGAU
rnacentral:rRNA from 1 species